rnacentral:rRNA from 1 species
GACGAACGCUGGCGGCGUGCUUAACACAUGCAAGUCGAACGGAAAGGCCCUGCUUUUGUGGGGUGCUCGAGUGGCGAACGGGUGAGUAACACGUGAGUAACCUGCCCUUGACUUUGGGAUAACUUCAGGAAACUGGGGCUACUACCGGCUAGGAGCUCCUGCUGCAUGGUGGGGGUUGGAAAGUUUAGGCGGUUGGGGAUGGACUCGCGGCUUAUCAGCUUGUCGGUGGGGUAGUGGCUUACCAAGGCUUUGACUGGUAGCCGGCCUGAGAGGGGGAACAGGGACAUGGGUACUGAGAGACGGACCAGAGUCGAACGUUAGGCAACAGUGGGGAGCAUGAUACAGUGAGCGGGCGUGUGAUGCGACAACGCCGGGUUCGUGAAGACGGCUUUGGGGUUGGGAACCGCUGUCGGCUGAGACGAAGCGGUAGUGACGGUAAUGGGAGAAGAAGCACCGGCUAACUACGUG